rnacentral:rRNA from 1 species
UGCAAGUCGAGCGAACUGACGAGGAGCUUGCUCCUUUGACGUUAGCGGCGGACGGGUGAGUAACACGUGGGUAACCUACCUAUAAGACUGGAAUAACUCCGGGAAACCGGGGCUAAUGCCGGAUAACAUAUCGAACCGCAUGGUUCGAUAGUGAAAGACGGUCUUGCUGUCACUUAUAGAUGGACCCGCGCCGUAUUAGCUAGUUGGUGAGGUAACGGCUCACCAAGGCAACGAUACGUAGCCGACCUGAGAGGGUGAUCGGCCACACUGGAACUGAGACACGGUCCAGACUCCUACGGGAGGCAGCAGUAGGGAAUCUUCCGCAAUGGGCGAAAGCCUGACGGAGCAACGCCGCGUGAGUGAUGAAGGUCUUCGGAUCGUAAAGCUCUGUUGUUAGGGAAGAACAAAUGUGUAAGUAACUGUGCACAUCUUGACGGUACCUAACCAGAAAGCCACGGCUAACUACGUGCCAGCAGCCGCGGUAAUACGUAGGUGGCAAGCGUUAUCCGGAAUUAUUGGGCGUAAAGCGCGCGUAGGCGGUUUUUUAAGUCUGAUGUGAAAGCCCACGGCUCAACCGUGGAGGGUCAUUGGAAACUGGAAAACUUGAGUGCAGAAGAGGAAAGUGGAAUUCCAUGUGUAGCGGUGAAAUGCGCAGAGAUAUGGAGGAACACCAGUGGCGAAGGCGGCUUUCUGGUCUGUAACUGACGCUGAUGUGCGAAAGCGUGGGGAUCAAACAGGAUUAGAUACCCUGGUAGUCCACGCCGUAAACGAUGAGUGCUAAGUGUUAGGGGGUUUCCGCCCCUUAGUGCUGCAGCUAACGCAUUAAGCACUCCGCCUGGGGAGUACGGUCGCAAGACUGAAACUCAAAGGAAUUGACGGGGACCCGCACAAGCGGUGGAACAUGUGGUUUAAUUCGAAGCAACGCGAAGAACCUUACCAAAUCUUGACUUCUUUUGACCACUCUAAAGAUAAAGUUUCCUCUUCGGAGGACAAAUGACGGGUGGUGCUGGUUG